rnacentral:rRNA from 1 species
AUUGAACGCUGGCGGCAGGCCUAACACAUGCAAGUCGAGCGAGCGGCGGACGGGUGAGUAAAGUCUGGGAAACUGCCUGAUGGAGGGGGAUAACACCUGGAAACGGGAGCUAAUACCGCACACACUCAGAGGUGCCCAGAUGGGGUUAGCUAGUAGGUGGGGUAACGGCUCACCUCGGCGACGAUCCCUAGCUGGUCUGAGAGGAUGACCAGCCACACUGGAACUGAGACACGGUCCAGACUCCUACGGGAGGCAGCAGUGGGGAAUAUUGCACAAUGGGCGCAAGCCUGAUGCAGCCAUGCCGCGUGUGUGAAGAAGGCCUUCGGGUUGUAAAGCACUUUCAGCGGGGAGGCGUUACCCGCAGAAGAAGCACCGGCUAACUCCGUGCCAGCCGCCGCGGUAAUAC